rnacentral:rRNA from 1 species
GAUGAACGCUAGCGGCAGGCCUAACACAUGCAAGUCGAGGGAGAAGCCCUUGCGGGGGCAGAAACCGGCGCACGGGAGCGUAACGCGUAUGCAACCUACCUUUCACAGGGGGAUAGCCAGAAGUAAUUUGGAUUAAUACCCCAUAAUAUUAUUGGAUGGCAUCAUUUGAUAAUGAAAACUGCGGUGGUGAAAGAUGGGCAUGCGUCCUAGUAGCUAGUUGGAGUGGUAACGGCAUCCCAAGGCUACGAUAGGUAGGGGUCCUGGGAGGGAGAUCCCCCACACGGGUCCUGCGACAGGGGCCAGACUCCUCCGCGCGGAAGCCGUGGGGAGUCAGGGGCAAUGGUCGUAAGACUGAACCAGCAAGGCCGCGUGCAGGAAGAAUGCCUUAUGAGUUGUAACCUGCUUUUAUAUGCGAAGAAUACGGCGUACGUGUACGUUGAUGACGGUACCAUAUGAAUAGGCAUCGGCUACCUCCGG